AACGAACGCUGGCGGCAGGCUUAACACAUGCAUGUCGAACGCGCCCUUCGGGGCGAGUGGCAGACGGGUGAGUAACGCGUGGGAACCUACCUCAUGGUACGGAAUAACUCAGGGAAACUUGAGCUAAUACCGUAUGUGUCCUUCGGGAGAAAGAUUUAUCGCCAUGGGAUGGGCCCGCGUCGGAUUAGCUAGUUGGUGGGGUAAUGGCCUACCAAGGCGACGAUCCGUAGCUGGUCUGAGAGGAUGAUCAGCCACACUGGGACUGAGACACGGCCCAGACUCCUACGGGAGGCAGCAGUGGGGAAUAUUGGACAAUGGGGGCAACCCUGAUCCAGCCAUGCCGCGUGAGUGAUGAAGGCCUUAGGGUUGUAAAGCUCUUUCGCCGGUGAAGAUAAUGACGGUAACCGGAGAAGAAGCCCCGGCUAACUUCGUGCCAGCAGCCGCCGUAACAC
rnacentral:rRNA from 1 species